rnacentral:lncRNA from 1 species
UGGGGGACAAGAAGGGGGUGAGCUGGGUGCUGAGAACAUGACUUCAUACAUAACGAACAUGAGAAGAAUAAGUUUCCCUAUAAACAACAUCAGAAGAGGUACUGAAGAUAAUAAUAAACUGUGAGCUCCAUUAAAACUUAGGAUGUGCAAAUUUAACGUGAGCAUAAUUAUCUGUUUCUUAUAAGGGAUAGGAAAAAGCCCCCAAAGAGAUAGAAAGAAUGCAGAAAUGAAAAGGAUAAUUGGCGAAAAGGCAAUCUAAAUACCAAGACCCUGGGAAAAGCGAGAAAGCCAUGCCCAUUCCAGGCCCUUGGAUGAAGCAAAAAAGCCAGCAUCUUUUUGUGGAGCUGAUAACACAAAUCUCAGCAGAAUAGAGAAGCACACAAGACUAUGCCCAUCUUCCCACCCACACCGGAGAGCGAGCUGAGUGCAUACACAUGGACGCGUGGGGAGAAGAGGAGGUGACCAUCCGUCCCUUCACAGCAUGCUAACAAUUUUGUCAACUGGCUCUUCAACAUACUCAGACUGGGGUGGCGGGGGUGGGGGAGGACAGUUUCCUACAGACACAGUAGGAACAUGGCCUCUAGGCAUUAAAUUAACCAGCGGUUUCUUUGGCAUGUUCGAACAAGUCUAGAACCCAAAGCACAUAUGCUAAGGGGAGAGGAAAAUUGCCUACUUGAUAAAAAUAAGCGGUAUCUAACCUCUGAGCUCAGAGCUUGAUUUCUGAUGCCAGUUUGAUAAGACUGGCAAAUGCACUUCUUGGUAACAACACUGAGGCCAGUACGGGAGCACUGAGUAUUCAAGUCUCACACAUAGCAUGACUUAAGAAAUGACAGCAGCAUUAGGAAAUGUGCUAAAAUUUUAAAAGGUGUAACAACCCUGUCUUCUGGUUACC